AGUGAACGCUGGCGGCAGGCCUAAUACAUGCAAGUCGAACGGCAGCACAGUGGAGCUUGCUCCAUGGGUGGCGAGUGGCGGACGGGUGAGGAAUACAUGGGAAUCUGCCCAGUCGUGGGGGAUAACGUAGGGAAACUUACGCUAAUACCGCAUGCGCCCUUCGGGGGAAAGCCGGGGACCUUCGGGCCUGGCGCGAUUGGAUGAGCCCAUGUUCGAUUAGCUAGUUGGCGGGGUAAAGGCCCACCAAGGCGACGAUCGAUAGCUGGUCUGAGAGGAUGAUCAGCCACACUGGGACUGAGACACGGCCCAGACUCCUACGGGAGGCAGCAGUAGGGAAUAUUGGACAAUGGGCGCAAGCCUGAUCCAGCCAUGCCGCGUGAGUGAAGAAGGCCCUCGGGUUGUAAAGCUCCUUUGUCCGGGAAGAAAAGCAUCGGGCUAAUACCUCGGUGUUCUGACGGUACCGGAAGAAUAAGCACCGGCUAACUUCGUG
rnacentral:rRNA from 1 species